CAGUUGACGCUUCUUUCUUAUCGAACUUCGGUUCACCAAGAAAGAGGAGUAGCGAACGGGUGAGUAACACGUGGGUAACCUGCCCAUCAGCGGGGGAUAACACUUGGAAACAGGUGCUAAUACCGCAUAAUGCUUUUUCUCACAUGAGAGAAAGCUGAAAGGCGCUUUUGCGUCACUGAUGGAUGGACCCGCGGUGCAUUAGCUAGUUGGUAGGGUAACGGCCUACCAAGGCAACGAUGCAUAGCCGACCUGAGAGGGUGAUCGGCCACACUGGGACUGAGACACGGCCCAGACUCCUACGGGAGGCAGCAGUAGGGAAUCUUCGGCAAUGGACGAAAGUCUGACCGAGCAACGCCGCGUGAGUGAAGAAGGUUUUCGGAUCGUAAAACUCUGUUGUUAGAGAAGAACAAGGAUGAGAAGAGAAUGUUCAUCCCUUGACGGUAUCUAACCAGAAAGCCACGGCUAACUACGUGCCAGCAGCCGCGGUAAUACGUAGGUGGCAAGCGUUGUCCGGAUUUAUUGGGCGUAAAGCGAGCGCAGGCGGUUCUUUAAGUCUGAUGUGAAAGCCCCCGGCUUAACCGGGGAGGGUCAUUGGAAACUGGGGAACUUGAGUGCAGAAGAGGAGAGUGGAAUUCCAUGUGUAGCGGUGAAAUGCGUAGAUAUAUGGAGGAACACCAGUGGCGAAGGCGGCUCUCUGGUCUGUAACUGACGCUGAGGCUCGAAAGCGUGGGGAGCAAACAGGAUUGGAUACCCUGGUAGUCCACGCCGUAAACGAUGAGUGCUAAGUGUUGGAGGGUUUCCGCCCUUCAGUGCUGCAGCUAACGCAUUAAGCACUCCGCCUGGGGAGUACGACCGCAAGGUUGAAACUCAAAGGAAUUGACGGGGGCCCGCACAA
rnacentral:rRNA from 1 species